UAUAUGCAGAGCUCUGAUGAACUGAGAAAGAGAAAAUGUUCAUAUUUUGUUAAUAUUAUAUGCUUAUUUUUCAAUUUGGAAGUAUUUCUGCUUCGCGCGUAUGACCUGAGGAGACCUUGCAAUAUGAUACGGCAGUACAGGAUUGUAUGAUAAGGUCACACAGUUAACCCAGUUCCUAGUAGGACUAUCUGUAGCAUGGUUCCGUUUGACCUGUAAUUUCCACAGUGUCUGCGUCAAGUGCCUUUCGGUAUGUAUAUAAAAAGCCUGUGAUGUCAACGAGACAGAGUUCAACAUGGCAGGAAGGCAUACUACAAAGCGAAAUCGGGCAGUUACCGAGGAAGAGAUUGAUGAUAUUCUCUUUGCUGAUAUUUGCACGAAUCUAGAGUCUGAGGACAGUUCAAACUUAUCCUCUAACGAUUCAGAGAGGGACGAAGAAUUUCUUCAGCGAAGAGUAACGAAGCGGAGGUAGCAACUCAACCCAGAAGUUAUUCCUGAAAGCAAUGCCGUUUCUGAAGAACAAAAUGAUACUGAGAAUGGCCCUCAGAGAUUUGAAGGAAACAGUACUUCAUGGGAGUGGCAGUCCAUGCCGUUCAUCCCAUACCGCCACGAUUUCGAUGAGGCAACUUCAGGCGUGAAUCCAAACUUAGGACUGAGCGCUGCCCCACAAGAGAUCGAUUUGUUUUGCCAUUUUUUUGAUGAGCCAUUGAUUUCUUAUCUCUGCAAUGAGACAAAUUGAUUCCAUGAGCAGACAAAAUAAAAUGUGGCCCUAAUGCCCCGCUCUAGACUACGGCAGUGGACUCCAGUCGGUUUCAAGGAGUUUUAUCUUUUCCUGCCUCUGAUGCUUCUUACUCCACAUGUAAAGAAAAAUGAGUUGCCCUUAUACUGGACAUAAGAUCCUUUGAUACACACCACCACUUUCGGCCACAUCAUGUAGCACAGGCAUUUUGUUUUGUUACUGCAUAACCUUCACUUUGUAGACAACAACAGCACACAGACGGAUCUUGAUCGACUGAAAAGAUUAGACCGGUACUUUCGAUGAUAACAAACAAGUUCAUUUUUUAUCCGUUUCAAAAUGUAGUGAUAGAUGAGAGCCUCAUGUUAUGGAGGGGAAGGCUGAGAUUCAGGCAGUACAUACCUUCAAAGCGCCAUAGGUAUGGCAUCAAGGCAGUUUGUUUUGUGCGACUGCCAAACUGGUUAUAUCCUUGAUAUCAUUCCUUAUACCGGAAAGGAUACUGCAAUGGAUAGACAUGCUGAUGUAGGAGUAUCCGGUUCAUUUGUUUUGACAAUGUUGGGUCCAUUCUAGGGACAAGGCCAUAUAGUUUACCUUGACAAUUGGUACUCAAGUCCCCUACUAUUUAGUUUUACUACAUUCAUUGUUCACUGACAGGGAAAAAAACAGGUCUGAGAGUGUUUUCAUUGACUUUGGUAUGUCAGCUGUUGGAGAAAUAUGGCCCCUCACAGCCCCCUCUUGCACCUCUGGUUCUUCCCGUCGAAGGUAGGCUCCAACGUGGCCGUCAUUACCCAGUGAAUGUGCCAUCGACAGAGAAAAAGAAGAACGCACAGAGGAUCUGUCAUGUGUGUGCCCACACUCAGUUGAAACAAAUGAAGUCCUACACCAGGUACAUGUGUAAGGAAUGUAAUGGCCCCUUUGUUUUUUGGGGUGCUAUGAAGUGUACCAUGAGAAAGUUGUGUUCUAGAUGUAGAAAUGUAGAUAUGUAGAGAUGUAGAGAUGUAGAAAAUAAAACUGCUGUAUAGAA